UUGUUUAAUUUACUUAAACUCCGACGCAAAGAUGCAGUGUUUGAUGGUCUCCGGGGGCGCUCGCCGUCGAAACGGCAGGGUCGCCCCCGAAGCAACAAGUUGUGUUCACAAAGGGUUGGAGGUCGAGCCCGAAGGCCCUCACUCAGUAAUGAUCCCUCCGCAGGUUCACCUACGGAGA
rnacentral:misc_RNA from 1 species